rnacentral:rRNA from 1 species
GACGAACGCUGGCGGCAUGCCUAAUACAUGCAAGUCGAGCGAACAGAUGAAGUGCUUGCACUUCUGACGUUAGCGGCGAACGGGUGAGUAACACGUAAGGAGUCUACCUAUAAGCGGGGGAUAACAUUCGGAAACGGGUGCUAAUACCGCAUAAUAUCUUCUUCCGCAUGGAAGAAGAUUGAAAGACGGCUCUGCUGUCACUUAUAGAUGACCUUGCGGUGCAUUAGUUAGUUGGUGGGGUAAUGGCCUACCAAGACGAUGAUGCAUAGCCGACCUGAGAGGGUGAUCGGGCACAUUGGGACUAGGACACGGCCCAAACUCCUACGGGAGGCAGCAGUAGGGAAUCUUCCGCAAUGGGCGAAAGCCUGACGGAGCAAUGCCGCGUGAGUGAAGAAGGCCUUCGGGUCGUAAAACUCUGUUAUAAGAGAAGAACAAAUUGUAGAGUAACUGCUACAGUCUUGACGGUAUCUUAUCAGAAAGCCACGGCUAACUACGUGCAGCCGCCGCCGUAA